UCUAAGGAGGUAGACUCUUACUUCAGCCUA
rnacentral:piRNA from 1 species